rnacentral:lncRNA from 1 species
UAGAGACAAGGUCUUGCUCUGUCAACCAGGCUAGAGUGCACUGGGACUAAUGUUCAAGGAGAUUGGAACCACCUGGACCAUCUGGAUAUCCCACAGAAGACCACACUGACCCAUUAUUACACUGAUGAUAUCAUGCUGAUUGGGCAAGAGAAGCAAGAGGAAGGAAGGCCCACAGAAGUUGCUGUGUGAACAUGUGUGGAGAUGUGAAUCCAUAUAGCUCAAAGGGUGGACUGUGACACCUAUGAGAAUUCUCAGAAGGCACAGGCAGUGGAAUUCAGAACUGGAUGUUGGACAAGACAGAUAUCUUCCAGAAUAUUUCCUCAAUUGUAGAGAAAACAAAUUCUUAAAGCUUCUGGUGAAAUUUUCAUGUAAAUAAUUUGGAGAAGUUAAAUUGCAAGAGAUUACUAAUUCUCAGUUCUCAGCAGACACUGUCUUUUAACUUCCAAAAGCUUGAAAGAUUGCAAGACCAUCGGGCCAGGUGUGAUAUUGAAUAUGUUUGGUGCUUGGCAGCCUCCGUAAUGCAGACUUAUUAAGUACAGAGGCACUGGGGAAGAGCAAGACCUGCAGCUGAUACCAUGACUGCUUGGCAAAGGAGAAGGAAGACUUUUAAACCUCCUGGGAAUGAAAAUAAGCCAUUUCCUUCAGAAAAAGCAUGGAAAUACAGGACUGAGCUCUGGAAAAUUUGCCAAAAGAAGUGAAAAAUAGUAGGGUCUAAAAAGGUCAAAUAAUAACCACACAUCCAUGUACUUGCUCUGGUUUUCCAGUAGUUGGAUCUAAAACCUGCGAUUCAAAAUUUCUGGAUGAUUUUAAUGUGAUUUACUCAUCUUUUCUAUGAUUUAUUGACAAUAUCCAUCUACAGAUACUGACAGUGCAAAGGAUUAGAAAGAGUCCACAUAUCCAUGUGUUACAAGUUCUGCACAUGCAAUGUGAAGACCCCUAGCUCUAUCUAGUAGUUGUUUAAAUGGUCAGAAAAUUAUUCUUAGGUUGGGUCUUUUGUUUCCAAAGCAAGAUUUAUUUCUUAAAAGGAUGGCUGCACUUAUUAGAGGUUGUUAGGAUGCUAAGCAUGGCUUUAGGAUCAAAGAAGCUAUCAGAAGUUCAAAAUUUUAUGUCAGGAUAAAAAGUUUCAUCAUGAUCAUCAAACAGCUCCUAUGGAGGACUGCUACUUUCAGAAGAAUAACUUCUUUCAAAUUUGGAGAUGGUUAAAUGCUCCUAUUGGGAAAAGGGAUGGAGUUCUUUAAACUUUUCCUUGUAUUAAAUUCUGCCACAAGUUGUGUUAAAAGGACAUUAUCACUGAGAAAUCAACAUUCCUUUAAACUGAAGCAACUAGAGCACAUCCCACUUCAUGCAGGAUGUGGAGUUGAAGAUGAAGAACUGACAAAAGCAUUCCACACUUUCCCCUCAUGAAAUGGUCCAAGAGUUUAAAGCAGAGGUUCUUGUACUUUGGAGGUUUAAAUAACACUUCAAAAUCCUAGAAUUUUUUGCUCCGCACUUGAGGAGAUUUAAAGACUCACAAAUGCACUAAGCAAGCCAGUGAUCAUUACAACACAAUUGCAUGCAUCACAGGUCUUUAAAUUAUCCUGUAGUUACAGAGCACUAGCCCCUUACUUGUCCUUUAGCACUGUGGAUACUCUGCUUACUUCCCUAACUGCUGUACCCAUAAAUUCCCAAAGGAAAGUUCUGGAAUGUCCUAGUAAACAUGCAGGAUUGGAUUUUUUUUUUUUUUGGUAGUGCUUUGCAACAUUUUGUUGCAGAAAAUUGUAGCCAGCUAUUCACUGUGGUGCCCUACUUGCUCAGCUGGGCUAAUAUCUGUGGAUGACUCCGCAAUGGGUGAAGUUGAUAAAGACCUCUCUCACACCUCCUGUGCCAGAAAUUUUCACUGUCUCCUGCAUCACAAGAGACCAUAAUAUGCACACAGCUCCCUCUCUCACGUUUUUAAGCCCAGUUUAGGCUCUCCUCCCACUUCUAUUCUUUCAUAGCUCAGUUGUUUCAUUUUUUAAAUUCCGUCCUCUGUUUUCUCAUUGAAAACGAAUGAGGCAUAUUUGAUUUAAGCUAAAUCUACAGCAUAGAGGUCCUCAGAGUUCUAUUUGCUACAGUUCCCACUACCUGACCCCAUGUCUACUAUACUCUUCAUCUUCUCUCUGAUUCUUUUUCUUUACUUGCCCUGUUUCUCCAUUCUUUUUCCUUUUUCUCCAUCUGAAGCUCUAAGAGUAAGGGAAACAAUCUUAGGAUAUUAGGUUCUAUUCCCAUAGGAAGAGUAUACUAUGAAUUUUCAUGGAAUUCUUUCUUCUUAGAGUAUAGAUGCAUUCCAUUGAAAGACUCCUUCAAGGUAUGGAAUAAUUGGGUAAUUAGGUACAGAUUACAUCAUUCUUACAUCAUGCUUAAAAAAAUACAAUAGGGUAUUCUGAGCAUAUAACGUGAAUCAGCAUAAUCAGGUGCAAUUCUUUCCCAAGACAAGGUCAAGAAAAAUUUCCCGAGUGUCCACCUAGAAAAUAGAGUAUGGCAAAAGUUCCAAAGAGCUUUAUGAAGUACAGUAAUUAUAAACAAAAUUAUUUUUCCCAGGAAGUUACCUCUUAAAGUGUAAUAAGUAUAUUGCAUAAGCAAAAUCUCUUAUAUGUUAAAUUCCGUUUUAUGUCUUUGUUUUUUGUUUCCUGUUUGUAGAAUCUGGGACUGGUAACAUAAGCUUAUUUUGUACAACUUUAUGGCUUUGUCUUCAGCUUGAGUAAAAAGCUCUAAAAAAAAGAUUUCUGGUCUUAUAGUUGACAGAAGUCACCAAACCAUACUUUAUACUAUUGUUUGUGGCAAGGACUGGAGAAAGUAUUAAAUUAUGUUUUAUAAAGUAUUAAAUUAUGCUUUAUAAACUAUAAAUUAUGUUUUAUAAACUAUCAAAGAAACCACAAAUCCUCAGAGCAGAUACCUUUUUUUUGAGGCAAACUUGUUCUAAUUUUUGGAUUUCUUAGAUAUUUAAGAAAACAAACAAUCAGGGUAGAAGAUAUCCUAGCUCACUAGGUCCCUCUGACAUGUGCUUUCAUCAUGCCACACACCUUUCUCACUCCCCAUUCCCCACCUCUUGACAUUUCACAUCAGUGUGACUUUAUUAGUAUAUCACACGAAUGUCUCUUCCCAUUGGAGUGUGAGCUUUAGGCUAGCAGGGUUCCUUUCAUCCAUCAUUGUAUUCCCAGACCUGGCACAGGGGCUGAGCACAUGGUAGGCUUCGAGGCCUGUAAGGGAUAUGAGGCUCUCACCUCACUCCCUACUGUGGGCUUGUGGCAGAACAAGGGCAGUUCAAAUGGAUUAUCUCAGUCAUAAAAGAAGACACCUAGUAGAAAAAAACCGCUGAACUGAAAGCCCAAGGGCCUGGAUUUUAGGUCCAACUCUACUAAAUUGCACCUUGGCUUGUGGUCUUCAGUUUUCAUAUAUUUAAAAUGAAGUUUCUAUAAGAAGAGUGAUUAAGAUCGCUUCCAGUUCUCAAAUGUUAUGGUUCUCACUGGUGCCAGGGUAGAAGAUUGCUUAUCAUUGAUUCAAUGAAUAAGAAAUAUUAAUGAUAGUACUAUUGCCUAUCAUAGAUAGAUAAUGCCUAUUGCACUUUAAGAACCAAACAGAUCUCAGUUUAAAUGCUAAGUCUAGCUUAUAUUAUUUUUCAAUUAAUUAAUAUCACUCAACUUCUACUCUUCAUUUUUCUGUUUUGAAAUAUGUGGGAAAUAUGCCAUUAAAAUAUUUGAAUAAAGGAGCAAAAUAAUUGCAAUGUUCUGGCAAGGUGAAUAUUAAAUUUCAUGGUGACUAUUGCAUUUCAAAACUAUGUCAUUUUUACUUAAUUUAUUUACUGUAGUAUUAACUUAUGCAAGCUAACAAGGCCAGACCUUAUUGGUGAUGUGGCCUAUCACCCACAUAUUUGAAAUUAUAAAAUAAAGAACUGUGUUUCCUUUAUCAAUAGAAAGUCUCAGCAUGCAGAAGACACCAUCAUCUGACUUUUCUUAAACUUCUUGUCACUUCAUCCGGCCCUCCCCCAUAUGAGUUUAGUUUAAGACCCAUUAAACACUUUGUGCAUCUUGCCCAUGAACAUCCUUGCCUAUUUCAUUCUUCCUCCGACUUGCAUAUAGUAUUCUUUCUGCCUCAAGAGUUCUCUUUUUCCCCAGGUUCACCUGGCAAAUUUCUACUUGCUUUAAUUCUCAGAUCAAAAAUCACUUUCUUUGUGAGGUUUUUCUGGAAAUCCCUGGGUUCAUGAGGGCAGGGACAGUAUCUUAUUUAUUGUAAAAUCAAUUAGCAACAUCUAACAAAUUUUGGCAAAAGCAGGUUCGCAGAAAAUAAAUUUAUGAUAAUUAGCCUAGUCUUACAUCUCUGCCUAUUUUUCUGAAUGUACUUGAUUAGAAUAAAAGGUAGCAAUCCAUUACAUAAACCACCUUUCUCUAUUAAGCAUUCUGCACUAGUAGAAUCUAAAAUUUUUAAGACCUAGUUGUCUUAGUUAUCCAAGUAUAAAACAAAUACACAUCUGAAGAAUUCUUAACAGCUGAAAAAUUCUUUGUUCAGGGAGACAAAUGGUUUUUUAACAAAUCAUUCUCUUUGUAGCUGAGUAAUUUUUUUUUAAGUUUGAGGUAAUUUUCUAGGAGAGUUCUAAAGAGUGGAGUUAAUUACAAGAAAGGCCCAUUGUGUCAUCACUGAUUGUAGAAUACUUCCCAGGGUUUGACUUAUUUGAAGGACAAUCUCCUUAGUGAAAAAUCUUAAAGAGCAAGAAAAUAUGACGACUUUCUCAUAUGAUUUAAAGCCAGUGCCUAUCAUGGCUAAGAAGGUUUGCUAGAGGUUUGAAUAAUCCUCAUGGCACAGUGAACUUUUGGUUUAACUACUGGAAUGUUCAGUCAAAACCAACAUGUUGCACACUCAGCUUUUUUUUUUUUUUUUUGAGACAGAGUCUCGCUCUGUUGCCCAGGCUGGAGUGCAGUGGCGCGAUCUCCGCUCACUGCAAGCUCCACCUCCCGGGUUCAUGCCAUUCUCCUGACUCAGCCUCCCGAGUAGCUGGGAUUACAGGCGCCCGCCACCAUGCUCGGCUAAUUUUCUGUAUUUUUUUUUUUUUCAGUAGAGACAGGGUUUCACUGUGUUUGCCAGGAUGGUCUCAAUCUCCUGACCUCAUGAUCUGCCCGCCUCGGCCUCCCAACGUGCUGGGAUUACAGGCGUGGGCUACCGUGCCCUGCCUACACACUCAGCUUUUAAGAGAAAAAGCAAAACACAAGAAAAUAAAUUCAUAUCAGGAGUUUUAUAUAAGUAGGAUUUCCUGGGAUAUGGUCUGAGGUCAGUAAACACCUUGUAUGUAUGUAGGCUUGAUAUUUUUAUUCAUUCAACAAAUAUUUAUUGAGCAUCUACUAUAUGCCAGGAAUUGUUCUAGGCUCUGGAGACACAAGAGUGAGCAAAAGAGAAAAAAAUCCAUGCCUUUGUGUAGCUUCGCUUUUAUUGAAGGGAGAAAGAUAAUAAAUGAAUUAUUAGGUAAAAUAUGGAGUUACGUUGUGUGAUGAAAUCACUCACUGGGGAAGCAAUAGUUCAGGAUUCUUUUCUUCUGAGUUUGUUCUAGUUGGAGACUUAGGAGUUGGUGGUGUGGUAGAGACACGUUUUCUCUGGGCUCCAGUAGUAACUUAUUUCUCUACUGUGGGUAUCAAUGACUCUGAAUUUUCUACUGAACUACAGAUAGCUGCCUCACCAGAAUUUGAACUUCUCUAGAUAAGAACUGUUUCUUUUAUCUUUAUAUCUUUGGUGCCUAGAAUAUGUGCCCAUUUUUCAUGAAAUACCUUCCACUGGUUUCUGAGAAUCCAUACUUCCUCUAGACUUUUUUCUAUUUUCUUCCAACUUUUGGUAGCCCCACAGCUUUUUUGCAACCACUUUUCUUCUGCCCAAGCCUAAAAUGUGAUGAUUAUCAGAGUUCCAGCCAAUCCUUUAUGGAUUCUAAUUAUCUCUCAAUGAUAUUCCUAUAGCUUUAAUUCCCAGCUAGAUAUUUACAACCUCCCAAACUACUUUUGCAGCCCGGACUUCUCUCUGGAUGCUAGAGAACCAGGCUCUUCUAUCCAAGCAGACUUAUGAUCAGCAGGACCUGAAUGUCCUACAAACCUCUCAGAGUCUUCAUAUUUGAAGCAAAUGGUCAUCAUCCCUCCCUCAACUUGCUCUAUGCCCAAUGUUUCUGACUUCAGUGAAUGGCAUCAGAAGUGACCUAAGCCAGAAGCUUCUCUCUUUUUUUUCUUUGACUCCUCAUUUCCUCCCCUUUCCCUAAAACAAGCCAAUUGUUCAACUCCUUUAGAUUCUACCUCACUAACAUAUUUUAAAUCUCUGUCCAUUUUUUUCAAUUCCUAUGACCACACCUCAGUUUAGCCCAUAGUCAUAUGGUAUCUAAAUUACUUGCCACAGCCUCAUUCAAUGACACACAUGUACUGACUAUAUCAUGUACCUAGAUCCUGGGUAGCAAAAAUAGAAGCCCGUGCUCCUUUGGGGAUGUUGGUGUGAUAACUCCUCUUUGGUUUCCCUACCUGUAAUAUUGUCUCACUCAAACUCAUUUUUUUAAACUGUAGAUAGAGUGAUUUGUCUAAAUCCAAAUCUGAUCAUGUUAGUUCCCUGCAUAAAAUUCUUCAAAUCCUUUAAUUUGUCUUCACUCUUCUCAGGAAAACCCUCAAAUUUCUUAGCAUGAAAUCCAAGGAAGGCCCCUUAUAAUAUGAACCAUUAUUCUUUCUCUAGAUUAAUCUUUUGCACUAAUUCCAAAUGCCACAUUACAGCACACAAAGCCACUUGAAGUUUCCCCAAAUGGUAUGCUGUCUUACCUCCACAGAAAACAUGUAGUUUUCUAUGACUAAAGAAAAAUCUUCCAUCUGAAUAUAGACACACAUCAAGCUUCCCUUUCUCCAGUUGUUCCUCUUUACUCCAAGACAAACCUCACUGUGCCACCAUCCUGCUCCUUCCUUAACACUAGACUGAUACCAGGCCUUAGUCUACCAAGAGUGUAGAAAUAGGUAGUCUCUUGAUUAUAUGACAGACAGAAAAUACCCGUGGAGUUUUACAUAACAUAUCUCCUAAUCUGAUGGAUUAUGGAAUGUGAAUGAUUCUUCUGUCUUUGGAGAUCAUAAAAUGGACAGAGCUACAAAGAACUACAAAGUGUUUAGAACAACACUUUUCCAACUAGAAUAGAGAUAAUGCAUUCCAGAACACUGCAGCUUGCAUAAUUAUCUUUCUAGGCAAUAAGUACUUGUCUGAAGUAAGAACCAUAAUAUCAUAAUCCAACCCCUAUGCUCCUGUUUCAACCUGAAGCCACACCCUUUUCAUGAACUCAGUCAGCCAUCAGUUGUCAAUGUCCACUUAUGCUCCAUCCAAGCCCUUUCCCUGCUACUCCUGGAGAGGACCUCAAUAUCAGCUAGGGGAGCUGGAAGACUAUGCUUAGGGAUUUUUUUGUAACUGCUUUGACACAGACUUUAUAUGUUUAAAGGAAAUGAACAUCUUUGCAUUGCCUUCAUUCACCAAAUGAUGUCUUCUAUCCAUGCAUGCUGCCCUAGUCACGAGAGUGGGUUGCAUGUAACAUACUUGUGAUUCCAUGAAGAGUGGGCACAGGGGAGUGCUGGUCAGGCUAAAGUUUGGGACAGAUGAAGAUGAUAUUAGGAGAAGAAGAAAAUAACUUCUGCUCACCACCAUCAAAGAUGAGUUUCCCAUGAGUAUAUAUUUUUUUCCUUUGGGCAUCAAAUGGCCUCCUUUGGCUUAAACUUUAACUUAUAUGAAAUGAUUUUUUAUACCACCAGGCCAUUUAUCUUUGUUACCCAAUAACUUCUCUAAAAAAAACCCAUGAUCAUUGGGAGGCUGAGGUGUGUGGAUCGCCUGAGGUCAGGAGUUCGAGACCAGCCUGCCUAACAUGGCAAAACCCUGUUUCUACUAAAAAUGCAAAAAAUUAGCCAGGCGUGGUGGCAGGCGCCUGUACUCCCAGCUACUUGGGAGGCUGAGGCCAGAUAAUUGCUUGAACCCAGGAGGCGGAGGUUGCAGUGAGCUGAGAUUGCGCCACUGCACUCGAGCCUGGGAGACAAGAGCGAAACUCUGUCUCAAAAACAAACAAACAAACAAAACCAUGAACAUGUUCAUGUGCCUGAGAAAUGAACUACAAUGAUAACUGUUACCAAGAGUUGGCUUUGUAUCGGUGAAGAAAAAACUGGGGAUGGUUACAGGAUAAUUUGGUUCUGGGUAAAAAUUAAUAAGGUGACACUGGGCAAAUCAUUUCAUAUGUGGAGAUCUAGGAGUGUAGGCAUCAUAAAUUGUCAGAUGCUGUUAUUAUUAAUUGACUUUUAGGUUAUUCCUUUUAACUGUUCCUUGAUUAAUGCAAAUGUUAAGCCUCUUAUUAUUGGGGAUAUCAACAAUUCCCAAAAUAUGUGGAUCCCUGUUUUUAAAAAUGAAAACGGCCCCUUAUUUUAAUCCAGUUUAUCUAUCACUCAAGUUACAGAAUAUCAUAUCUGAACAAACCUUUUUGCCAUUAAUAUUUACUGAAACACAUGCUAUGAGCUCUUAACAAAACUUCCUGGUGAAGUGACCCCCCAAAGAUAAAACACGUAUUUUCCCUUUCAUCUUUUUGCUGAGAGGCUGAAGUAGGAAAGUCUCACUGGGUCAUCCCUCCUGGAGGGCUGCAUGUUGUUAUCACAAGCUACAGGGCAAACAGGAAGGGCUCCAUGGGGGUGUGAAGAACUCACACAUCCCAGGGGCCCACUGUUAGCUGCUAGAAUUAGCUGCACAAUUAUCCCGGUCACACCAAAUGGUCACCAAGGGUGAUAGAGAUCCUAGAUGCAACUUAAUGAACCAUAUUCAGUUUUAUGAUAACAACCAUGUGUAAGCAGACACGCUUGACCUAACUCUGAGAUGGGCAUAUGCUUACUUGCAACAGAAUCUGCUGGGUCACUUGAUGUAUUUAAAUAAAAGAAAUGUGAUUAAUGGCAACAAAACAUGUCUUUCUCAGAACAGUGCCUUGUCAACAGUAACCAGCUAGCCUGACCUUUCAAUGGCUCCCUGAAGGGUGGGUAUAUACACUAUUCGUUAAUUGUGGCUUAUAUUUGUACCUUGGUAUAAAGCAAUAUAGCUGUCAAAAAUACUGUAUAUUGAAUUUUUAAAAAGUUGUUAUCAAUUAAAAAAUUGUUAUUGCCAUAAUUUAAGGUGGCAUUGGCCAAUUAUAAAUUUGUUGGAUAUUAGUUCUCACU